ACGGAAGGCAGCAGUGGGGAAUAUUGGACAAUGGGGGAAACCCUGAUCCAGCGACGCCGCGUGAGUGAAGAAGUAUUUCGGUAUGUAAAGCUCUAUCAGCAAGGAAGAAAAUGACGGUACUUGACUAAGAAGCUCCGGCUAAAUACGUGCCAGCAGCCGCGGUAAUACGUAUGGAGCAAGCGUUAUCCGGAUUUACUGGGUGUAAAGGGAGCGUAGGCGGAAGGCUAAGUCUGAUGUGAAAACCCAGGGCUCAACCUUGGGACUGCAUUGGAAACUGGUUUUCUAGAGUGUCGGAGGGGUAAGUGGAAUUCCUAGUGUAGCGGUGAAAUGCGUAGAUAUUAGGAGGAACACCAGUGGCGAAGGCGGCUUACUGGACGACAACUGACGCUGAGGCUCGAAAGCGUGGGGAGCAAACAGGAUUAGAUACCCUGGUA
rnacentral:rRNA from 1 species